AGUGAACGCUGGCGGUAGGCCUAACACAUGCAAGUCGAACGGCAGCACAGUAAGAGCUUGCUCUUACGGGUGGCGAGUGGCGGACGGGUGAGGAAUACAUCGGAAUCUACUUUUUCGUGGGGGAUAACGCGGGGAAACUUACGCUAAUACCGCAUACGACCUACGGGUGAAAGCAGGGGAUCUUCGGACCUUGCGCGAUUGAAUGAGCCGAUGUCGGAUUAGCUAGUUGGCGGGGUAAAGGCCCACCAAGGCGACGAUCCGUAGCUGGUCUGAGAGGAUGAUCAGCCACACUGGAACUGAGACACGGUCCAGACUCCUACGGGAGGCAGCAGUGGGGAAUAUUGGACAAUGGGCGCAAGCCUGAUCCAGCCAUACCGCGUGGGUGAAGAAGGCCUUCGGGUUGUAAAGCCCUUUUGUUGGGAAAGAAAAGCAGCAGGUUAAUACCCCGCUGUUCUGACGGUACCCAAAGAAUAAGCACCGGCUAACUUCGUG
rnacentral:rRNA from 1 species